UACGUAGGGUGCAAGCGUUGUCCGGAAUUAUUGGGCGUAAAGAGCUCGUAGGCGGUCCGUCACGUCCGCUGUGAAAACCCAGGGCUCAACCCUGGGCUUGCAGUGGAUACGGGCAGACUAGAGGUAGGUAGGGGAGAAUGGAAUUCCCGGUGUAGCGGUGAAAUGCGCAGAUAUCAGGAGGAACACCGGUGGCGAAGGCGGGUCUCUGGGCCGAAAUUGACGCUGAGGAGCGAAAGCGUGGGGAGCAAACAGG
rnacentral:rRNA from 1 species